GGCCUACCAUGGUGGUAACGGGUAACGGGGUGUUAGGGCACGACACCGGAGAGGGAGCCUGAGAAACGGCUACCACAUCCAAGGAUGGCAGCAGGCGCGCAAAUUACCCAAUCCCGACACGGGGAGGUAGUGACAAUAAAUAACAAUACGGGGUUCUUUCGGAUCUCGUAAUUGGAAUGAGUACAAUUUAAAUCUCUUAACGAGGAACAAUUGGAGGGCAAGUCUGGUGCCAGCAGCCGCGGUAAUUCCAGCUCCAAUAGCGUAUAUUAAAGUUGUUGCAGUUAAAAAGCUCGUAGUUGAAUUUCGGGGUCAGCAGGUUGGUCGUGCCAAUGGUAUGCACUGGCCUUGCUGAUUCCUCCCUCUUGAUGAGCCGUAAUGCCAUUAAUUUGGUGUUGCGGGGAAUCAGGACUGUUACUUUGAAAAAAUUAGAGUGUUUAAAGCAGGCAAGCGCUUGAAUACAUUAGCAUGGAAUAAUGAAAUAGGACGUUCGAUCCUAUUUUGUUGGUUUCUAGGAUUGACGUAAUGAUUAAUAGGGAUAGUUGGGGGCAUUAGUAUUCAAUUGUCAGAGGUGAAAUUCUUGGAUUUAUUGAAGACUAACUACUGCGAAAGCAUUUGCCAAGGAUGUUUUCAUUAAUCAAGAACGAAAGUUAGGGGAUCGAAGACGAUCAGAUACCGUCGUAGUCUUAACCAUAAACUAUGCCGACUAGGGAUCGGAUGAUGUUAAUUUUUUAAUGACUCAUUCGGCGCCUUACG
rnacentral:rRNA from 1 species